rnacentral:rRNA from 1 species
UACGAAGGGGGCUAGCGUUGCUCGGAAUCACUGGGCGUAAAGGGCGCGUAGGCGGAUCUUUAAGUCAGGGGUGAAAUCCUGGAGCUCAACUCCAGAACUGCCUUUGAUACUGAAGGUCUUGAGUUCGGGAGAGGUGAGUGGAACUGCGAGUGUAGAGGUGAAAUUCGUAGAUAUUCGCAAGAACACCAGUGGCGAAGGCGGCUCACUGGCCGAUACUGACGCUGAGGCACGAAAGCGUGGGGAGCAAACAGGGAGUUAGA